rnacentral:lncRNA from 1 species
CCCCACUCCGCAUCCCUGGGCUCGGGUUUGCCUUGCUGACCUCUGCUGCCACCUGGUGCCACACAGAGAAACUGAGGAGAAACCACAUCAGUCUCCUUCAGCCUCAGCUUCACAUCUGUGGGUCAAGUAACCCUUUCAGAAGCUGAAUAAUGUGGGAAAGCUUUCCUCUCAGGAAAAUGCACACAUCCAACUUUGAGAAGAUGCCCUUGGGGGUGCUUCAAGGAUCCUAGAUAAAGAACCCCCUUUCCCGAACAUCCAAGAACCUAAGUUUUUUUUUUUUUUUUUGAGAAAGUCUCGCUCUCUCUCCCAGUCUGGAGUGCAGUGGCGUGAUCUUGGCUCACUGCAAGCUCCACCUCCCAGGUUCACGCCAUUCUCCUGCCUCAGCCUCCCGAGUAGCUGGGGCUACAGGCACCUGCCACCAAACCCGGCUAAUUUUUUUGUAUUUUUAGUAGAGACGGGGUUUCACCGUGUUAGCCAGGAUCGUCUUGAUCUCCUGACCUUGUGAUCCACCCGCCUCGGCCUCCCAAAUUGCUGGGAUUACAGAUGUGAGCCACCGCACCUGGUCCAAGAACCCAAGUUUUAGAUCUAGAGUGAUGUCAGCAUGACAUUGAUUUCCUGAGGCCCAGGGGCGAAGGAGCUGAGGACAGCAGAGGGGUGAAGGAACUCAGCUACAGACAGCAGCAGCUGAUGCACAGGGCUCCCAGCGCCUGAAGUCACCCGGAAUUGGGAAGUGCUCAGAAGCUUACAAAGCUGCCUCGAGUAACAGACAAUGCACAAAGCUACUUCCUUAUGGACGGAAAUUCUGAAAUCCUUUUAUGCCUGGCCUUUCCAUCCUUCAACUUCCCCUCUCCCAUGCUGUGAGUGAUUGUAUUGGACAUUUUUGUUUUAAUCUCAGUGACAGGGGAACACAGAUAGCUCUAAUAUAGCUGUGACCCAGAUGCUUCUGUUUCUAGCAUGUAUUAAUUUUGCAGCAAACAUUACAUCCAUAAUUUUUCACUGUCCUUUGAAAAUAAUUAGGCAAUAUCUCAUCUGAGGUAGGAUGUUUCUAGGGGUUGUGUUCUGAGUGAGAAAAACUAAUCUGUUCUCUUUCCACUGCAUUCUAGGAACAGUAAGAGGACCUUGUGCAUGAAUAAUUUGUUUCCACACUGCAGAGUGGGUAAUAAGCAGAUUAGUAAAAACAAUUCUGCUUCACUUCAAUAACAGCCUCCUCCAACUCAUUUUUUCUCAACAAACUUAUUUUUGCAGCAGAAGAAUCCCAGACUUCUUAGAGAACCCAGUGACUUUUUGCACCUUAAAUCUGUGAAAUCCUCAUGCUUUCUUCUGCCGUAUCCAUCGUUCAAACAAACAUGAGGCAAAGCUAGACACAUUCCUGAAGGAACCCAAGAAAUUCCUCUCUUUCUCUCUCUGGAAUGAAAUGAAUUCUCUAGACCACCAGUUCUAACCUUCAAAAACCAAACCUGUUUGUGAGAUCUCCUUCAAAUACUACUGUAGACCCCAGUGUUUAUUCAUUAAAUUUUUUAAAUAUUUGUUUUAUUUGGAAUCAAAGUAUUUGUAAUUUUAGUAUUUGUAUUAAUAUAAGGGAGAAAUGUUUAAAUCUGUCUAUGCCACAUGUGCCUUCGGCUUAUUGCCCAAUUAAUUGUAGCCUCAGGCUAAACUUUGGUUUCUGUCUUUAAUUUUUGUCGGAAGAAAUAUAAC